GGCAAAGAAUGCUUUGGAGAACUACGCGUACAAUAUGAGGAACACAAUAAAGGAUGAGAAGAUUGCAUCCAAACUGUCCGCUGAUGACAGGACUAAGAUUGAAGAUGCUAUUGAGCAAGCCAUCCAGUGGCUUGAUGGUAACCAGCUCGCUGAGGCUGAAGAGUUUGAGGACAAGAUGAAGGAGCUAGAGAGUCUUUGCAACCCUAUCAUUGCAAAAAUGUACCAAGGAGCAGGUGGUGACAUGGAUGACGAAGGUCCUGCUCCUAGUGGUGGUGGUGCUGGUCCUAAGAUUGAGGAGGUGGACUAAGUUUGUGGUUCCUAUAUUGUUUUUUAUUAGAUACCUGUCAUUUUUGUCUCAGAGAACUCUAUGAAUAUCUUUUUCUUUCUUCAAUGAAAUACAAUGUUAUAUGUUGUAGUAAUCCGAAUUCCCAAGAUAUUGCUCUUUACCAUGGCUGCCUCAAGUUUCUCAAACUUAACCAAAAAUGUUGC
rnacentral:misc_RNA from 1 species